CCCCAAUUGUUGACUUUGUCACCUUCAAGUGAUUUAGUUUGGGUCAUUAUGCUCUUGGUGUAGCUGUCAAACAGCUUUUGAUGCAUGAGAUAGAAAAGAACAAAAUUUUGCAAGGAAGCAUGAGCAAAACUAUGCAUUCAACUGAUGGAAAACGCAAAGAGAACUGGGCAAUGACAACGGAGGAAAAGAGCCGAGCUUAAUCUGGCAAUGUUAGUCAUGCAGCUGGAUGUGCUGAGAACAACAUAGAAACAGCAAAGAGUAAGGCCAGUACUUCCAUCGUUUCGUCAGCCUCUGGUUCUAGUGGAAGUGCAGAAGCCAGUGUAAAACUAAAAUCUUCUAGAGAUGUGAAGAAGCCUCCUAGGGGCUCUACUUUCUUUGAUAGGUUCAAAAAGUUGAGCAGCAAAGGUUCUCAAACUACUAACCUCAUCCAAGAGCCAGUAACACUGGAGAGAGAUUCACGUCCUCUGCUAUUUAAGUUUAACGAGGGUUUUACAAAUGCAGUUAAAAGGCCAGUUCAGAUUCGUGAAUUUUUGCUAUAACUGGGAUCAGAAUUAUUGUAAGCACUAAAAUGGUGCCUUUUCUUUUCUUUUGUUUGUCACAUAUAAGAUGUAGAUCUGUGCUCUUUUGCUUAACCCCCAAUUCCAAAGACAUAUAAGUUAUCUCAUGGGAUGCUGCUUGACGACAAUCUAUGCGUUUGUUUUUUUUUUUUUUUUGGUUUUAAAAGAGAGGACA